rnacentral:lncRNA from 1 species
AUUCAAGCUCGACAGAUUCGCUGGAUUCGUCGCAAGGUAUCACUGAGAUUUGUUCCCCCUAGUCUCGUCGUGAUUGCAUCCACAGGGUUUUCGAUUCAGGGUCGUAUGGAUAUGAUUUGUUUUUCUAGGUUUUCUAUCUCCCCGCUCCUAUUCCGGUGGGUUGGUUUGUGCUGCGGCAGUGGAUUCGGGAGUGGAUUCAUUGUCCCUGGCUGUGUGAAAGGUCCUAAUAUGGCUAGAGGGGGGGUGAAUAGCCUAUUUACAAAUUCUACAAACUCACUAGAGCAAGAGGUUAGUAAAUAACAAAGCGAAGCUUUUUUCUCUAGCUCUAAUGGGGUGUUUGCAAGCCACCUAUCCAACAAUUCUAGUUGAUAUAAUCACUAGGCACACAAGAGCUAUGUCACUACUUACACUAGAAAGCUACCUAAAGUUUCUAUACAAGUAAGUAAGCUACUCUAGUUUGCGGGAAUGUAAAAGAGUGGAUGAGAUAAUUAUACCACCGAGUAGGGGAUGAACCAAUCACCAAUAUAAACAACCAAGCACCGGGAGAAUGCCAAUCAAACACAAUUGAGACACCGAUUUUUCUCCCGAGGUUCACGUGCUUGCCGGCACGCUACGUCCCCGUUGUGUCGACCAACACUUGGUGGUUCGGUGGCUAAGAGGUGUAGCACGAACCUCGUCCUCACUAGGACACCACAAGAACCUACCCACAAGUGAGGUAGCUCAAUGACACGAGCAAUCCACUAAUGUUGCCUUUGGCUCUCCGCCGAGGUAGGCACAAACCUCUCACAAUCGCCGGGAGAUGGCCACGAACAAUCACCAACUCGUGCCAAUCCUCCUCCGCUGCUCCAAGCCGUCUAGGUGGCGGCAACCACCAAGAGUAACAAGAAAACCGCAGCCAAAUCGAUCCCCAAGUGCCACUAGAUGCAAUCACUCAAGCAAAUGCACUUGGAAUCACUCCCAAUCUCACAAAGAUGUUUAAUCUAUGAAGGAGAUGAGUGGGAGGAGUUUGCUUAGGCUCACAAGGAUGUCAAGUAUGUUAGAAUGCCAAGAGUGUGAGCCCCAAGCCGGCCAAACACGUAUAUAUAGCCCCUCAAACAAAUAGAGCCGUUGGCUCUUUCAUUGGGCAAAACUCGGGGUCACCAGACGCUCUUAAAGGGGCACUGGACGCUCAACACCAGCGUCCGGUGCUCCAACAUCAGCCGCGUGUCAGAGCCUAACGGUAACCUGCAAAGCACCGGACGCUGAGCAAGCGUCCGGUGCACACCGGACUCAUGCGCAGAGAGUUCCGCAAACUCGCAGAUUCACCGGACGCAAGCCACCGGACGCACCCUCAGCGUCCGGUGCUCACUGGACCCAUGCGCAGAGAGGGUCGCAGAACGCCCGCACACCGGACGCGCACCACCGGACGCUCAAGCCAGCGUCCGGUGCCUAUCGUCCGGUGCCUUACCCUAGCUGGGCCAGGCACUGUCUGCACACCGGACGCUCAGACACAGCGUCCGGUGCCUCUAAGCCAGCGUCCGGUGAGUGUUUUCUCAGCGAGAAACACUCCCGCGACUUCACCAAAUUUCCCUCCGGCGCAAUAGAAAAAAUGCACUUCAUUUUCUCGAAAAGCGCCGAAUCCCGCCUCGCAAGCUCGGCGGGAGGGAGAGAGAGGAACCCAUCCUCUCUCAACCCUUCAAACUUCAACUCCCUUCUCAAAGUGUGCCAACACCACAAUGUGUAAACCAACAUGUGCACGUGUGUUAGCAUUUUCACAAUCAUUUUCUUCGAAGGAGUUAAGUUAGCUCACUAGGUUCUAAAUGCAUGCACAUGAACAAUGACACCUAGUGGCACUUGAUAACCGCUUAGCCAAAGAAUUCCCCUCUUUAUAGUACGGCUAUCUAUCCUAAAUGUGAUCACACCCUCUAUGGUGUCUUGAUCACUAAAACCAAAACCCUAAGCAAUACCUUUGCCUUGAUCUCCAUAGGGUUUGUUUUUCUCUUUCUUCUUUUCCAAGUUGAGCACUUGAUCAUCUUGUGGUCAUCACCAUCAUCACCAUGAUCAUCACUUUCUCCAUCACUUGGCAUGUACCAACCUUAUUAAGUCUACACACACUUAGUAUAGAGGUUAGUACUUAGGGUUUCAUCAAUUAUCCAAAACCAAACUAGGGCUUUCACCGUGGUUCUGAUGUAGUUGGUGCUGAGUUCAACGGAGCGCAGGCGCGAGAUUCGGUAGAGAGCGGUUGCUGGAAAGGAGCCGACCGGGUUGAUGUUGGGGAGGGAGAGGGCGGUGAUGGCGUCGCUGGCGGCAUCACAGGUGACGCCCAUCCAGGCGCAGGGCGUGGCGUCGCUGGCGUUCCAGUCGUCGUCCUGGUUGAGCAGAUGGAUGCCGUCCUGGUUUAGCGCCUUAUUGACAUUUGGCGAGGAGGAGGUAUAGGUUUGGGAGGAAGGAGGUAGGGGCAACCAUGCUAGAUGCGAUGGAUGUCGUUGGUGGCUCAGAGUGCUUGUGGGGGCAAAGCAGGUGUCGGCAUCGGCAUCGGCAAGGGCCGGUGAAGAAGGGCAAGAGAAUGGGAAUGGAAUGGUUAGCUACUGCCUACGUGCUUCGCUAAUUGGGCCUGUGAAGAAGGGAAGAGAAUGAGAAUGGAAUGGUUGAAUACCUGUGUGGCGUCAGUCGAUCUGUGUGCGUUGUGUAACUAUGUUUCUCUUGUCUCUGCUUUUCCCUUUCCCCUGCUGUAGAUAGAUGCAUUGGGUUUGUGUUAGGAUUUCAGGUUUAGCUGUUCUGGACAGAGUUUAGAAAAUAUGUUCUUCUUGACUCUUUUGAUGAUAUAUAAGAAAGGAUAUUCUCAAAUUUGGGUGUACAAAAUCUAGCUAUGUACUUAUGUUUGGUAGGGACAGAGGCUAAUGAAUUGAAACACACCAUUUUUUAUCUAAACAUUUAUAUAGUAUGUAGUAACCUGGGUGACUCAAGCUGCUGCUCUGUUUUCUAGCUCCCUAGCUUCCCAUCCGGUAGAGUGCAGACUCUAGUAUAAUGUUUGUCAUUGCUCAAAUUUGAUCAGUAGGGAAAGAUGAAUUUAUCACCUGCAAUUUAAGAAGUUUUACUUUAUAUUAAAUAUGGUUCAACUGCAAGCUAUGUUCCUUUCAGAUUUUGCAUUUGCAUACAAAAUGAUAGGAAAUAGAUUUGGUUAAAUAUGAUUCUAAUUUUUUUAUGAAUUGGUUACAUAUGGCUGAUGAGGGAGAUUCUUUUGUUGAAGGAGAAAAGUUCAAAUCAAAUGAAGAGUUGGAGUUGGAGUCUUCUAAUAAUGAUGUAAGAGUUGGAUAUUCUUCUACUUUAAUGUUGCAAUUCUUAGUAAUAUAGAAGACUGUAAAUAGUAACUAAUAUCUUAGUGUGUGUGUGCUAAUGUUCUAUAAAUUCUCAAUUGGGCAAUUUCUUUCUCAUUUUUUGUAUAUUUGAAUUACCAGUGACCUGAGUUUGUUUGGCGCUUGUUUUUUAGUUAGUGUGCUAACUGAGUUAUUUUAUUUAGAAAUCUGAUUCUUCUGGUGCUCCUAGUGACAAUGAUAAUGAUGGGGACAAGAGUGACAGUGGUGAGAGCACAACUAAUGAAUCUAUAGUGAGUAUUCUUUUUUGUAUAUUGUUUUUCUGAUAACUUAGCAUUUCUUGAGCUAUUAGUCUGUAUGAUCAAGUGUUUUUUAAUAUGAGUUCGUAUGUUCAAUUUUUAUGUUUAAGCUUUUAUUAUAAGUUUAAGUUGACUUUAAUAAAUUGUGUGUUUAAUGUUCAGAUACAAAUUGUAUGGUUUAGUUGUGUUAUGCAAGUUAAUAUAUCUUUUCGAGUAAUUUUUUGUUUGCAAGUUAGUAUGUUCAAUCAUAUUUAAGUUUAUUCUCCUGACUUAUAAGUUUAACUUUGUCCUGUAACUUUGUAUUGUCUAGUUACGUUCUGCAAGUUAUUAAGUUAGUAUGUUUAACUUGUAUGUUCUAUCUUUACUCAUAAGUUGUUUUGUUUGGAUAUUUUAAAAUUAGUAAGCCAAGAUUAGUUUCAAAACUAAUAGCUAUGUUAUUAAUUAUUUUACUUCUUUUUCCUUUUGACAUAAUGAGGAAUGUUUGCUACUUUUUUCUUAUAAUUUUUAGAUAUAAAUUGUUAUUUUGUUCCUCAAGUUAUUUUGUUGAACUUGUCCAAUAAUCUUUUAUUUGAAAGUUAGUAUGUUCAAGUUACAUGUUUUAAGUUUGUGCUGCUAACUUGUAAAUUUAAUUUGUGCUCCUAAUUUGAAUAUUUAAGUUAGUAUGUUCAAGUUGCAUGUUUUAAGUUUAUGCUGCUAACUUGUAAGUUUAACUUGUGCUCCUAAUUUGAAUGUCUAAGUUAUGUUCAAGUUGCAUGUUUUAAGCUUGUGCUCCUAAUUUAUACCAUUUCUUCUCCCACAGCCUUAGGAUUAUUAAAAUGUUGAAAGUUAAUUGGGUAGACCACCGGACAUUUGGAUUGUCAAUGCAAGUAUAUGGUUCAAUUUCAUUUCUCCUCAUGUGAUUAACAUUAUGGCAGUUACAAUAAUGGAAGAGCAAUUUCGUAAACAUUUUUUGGACUCUCUACCUUCCUUUGAGUGGUGUAAAAAUAUUUUUCCCCACUCUGUUUCUGUGAGUUCCUUUUCUAUUCUAUCAUUCUUUGUUUAUUCUUUUUCAUUUUUGGUUCCUUUUUAGAUAAAUUAUUAUUAUUCAUAAGCAUCUCUUGUUUUAUUUCACAGUUGGGAUUAUAUAACUUGUUGUACUUAUUUUACACAUUACUUUUAUGUUUUCAGUACUUGUAUAAAGUGUGCUAAUAUUUUCCUUUAAUUGAACUUGUUAGAUUCAAUUAUUUUCAAAUGUUCUAAUAAUUGUACUUGAUAAAUUAAUGUUUUGUUGUAGUCUGUUGUAAGUUUCUUCUGAAACUUUUAUCUCUACUUUCAUGCACAUAACCUCAUGUCUAACAUUUUAUAUCUAAUUCUUGACAUGUCUAAAUUUUUAUUUUUUAAACAUAACUUAUAUGUUUAGGUUUUAUCCACAUAACUUAUGCCUUAAUUUGUGGACAUGAAUAUUGUCAUUCAAGGACUUCAAUAUUGUCAAAGAAGAUGCUCUUGUAAUUGUCAGUAACUUUCGUAAAGUGUUCAAGUUUUCAUAUCCAGCAUCGAGAAGAGUUGAUGUUUAUAGGAUGGGCUUUGUUUUUCUAGUGUGUCCAAUUCAACAAGCCAGUAUGUUUUUUCUUACUUCUCCACCACUUUCUGA